GGGGAUAGACAUGUACAUCAAAGAGCACAAUCAAAUCUAAGCAAAGGACUAAGAAAGACAAACAGCUGCUAGUGCUGCUUAUUUAUUAUGAGUUGCACAACUGAGCUGCCAGACUUUCUUGCUGUAAUUCAUGCUGUAGAGCAUCCUACCCACUAAAAUGAAUGGGAACUCUAAUGAAACUAAGAUGUAAGGAUGGCAAAAUCUGCCUUGGAGUAAAAAUGGAAAUGCCAACUGUGCUAUUAAAAAAAAAGGCCAUGAUAUAAAUGAGAGAACAACUGUGAGUCCUACCAUUAUGGGAUAUAACUCUUGCCGCUGUUCCUUAAAUUGCCUCAUUUGCCUUGACGUUAUGAUGGAUUGCACAGAAACUAUGCAUGUACCAGUGUUGAGUCUGCUGGGGAAAAGUUGUCCUUUCAGAAAUGUUUCAAUAAGCUGGAGCUGCCAGAACGGGUUUGCAUCACUUCAGUUUUUUGCAUUACUUGGAUACACUUUUGAGCACCCUAAAACUGGAUUUUCCAGCCUUUGGAUCUGUGGUGUGUCUUUUAGUUACCAAUACUUUGCAGCUCUGGUACUUGGCUAGACCUGUGUGCUGAAGGCAAACCUGUAAGCAGGACAGGUGGCUCAGGGCUCCUGCCCUGCUGCAAUGUCCAUAACAGCUUCAAGUCAUUGGAGGGCUUUGUUUCAACAUUUGUGGCAUUGUGAAACUUGUGGAUGGAGAAAAUAGCAGGUGCGAUACACUCGGGUUUUAAUAUUCAGGAUUGUCUGCAAGAUUUCUUUUCAGUGAACCCUCAUUAACUUUUACUUAAUGACUUUAUUUUCUAAAUAUACAGUGGUAAAUUUUUAUCAUUUGUUUACUUCUAGUUUCUGUUUGCCCAAUCAUGCAUAUGAUCAUACAUCUAAAUUAAAGUCCAAGGUGUGUCUGAUUUUUGUUAACCCACUGAGAAAAUAUAUCCUUAACUUUAAGAAUUUUACAUUUGAUGAACUAAAUGUAAUGAUCCAGAUGUUACCUUCUCAGAGAAAGGGAUGACUUCUGAUUGUGCUCAUUAUUUACGAUACACGCUUGCCUAAUGAGAGCCAGCUUUCACCUUUGCCAUGAUAAAACCCAUGAAAUUCUGUGUGGUUUUGGGUUAUUGGUUUACACUAAUAAAAGAACUGAUGCAGUAUUCUGCUGGCAAUAGUACUAGCUGUAGUAUCACUCUUAUGAACUAUGAUGUGAACUGUUGCUGUGGAUACAUACCUGGAAAGUUGCAUGCAGUAAGCCUCAUCCACUUGACCAACCUCUCCACAUAUCCCCACUGCUAUAUCAGUUCAUGCAAUUGCCGUAUUGUAAUCUGUCUCUCCUACUGUGGUCCUGGCACCAGACAGGUCUGAUCUGGGAUCACCUAAUUAUCUGUGUCUGGCAUAUAGGUUGGGUAUAUAAAAGGUGAAGGCACACAGAGAAGGCUGACUAAGAAUAGGUGUUGUGUGGCAGUAGUUUAGUGACAAGAGCUCUCCAUUCUGAUUGACAAAUUACUGUUACUUGACCUAAUGCAUUAUUAGUGUCCUCAUGCCUUAUCCCAUGUGGUGCCACACAGUGGGACAUAGCAAACUUGGGAGAUAACAGCACAAAGAGCUCAUUCCCGCCGCAGAGUCCAACAGAACGGAAGACUUCAACACAAAGUUAGGUCCAUGCAGAAGAGUGCUGUCAGUGAAGGGAACUGGCUCCCAUUCAGCCAUGUCUGUGUUAGAUGCCUUGCUCCAGACUUUCCAGAUUCGUUCCCCAGGGGUGCAGCAGUCGGCCCCCUUUUGCUGCCAGCAGAGUAAUAUUGCCUCCUCAGUGUUUUGACAACCUGGCACAAUUUCUGGUAUAAUUAAUAGGUAUUUGGUGUAAUAGCAAGACAUGUGGUAUUGAUUCCCCUCGUAUUCCACACUGAUUCAGCAAUGCUGGAACUUGGUAACACAGGACGCCUUUCAAUGGUAAGUCUGGUAGAAAUCAAGACUGCUGAAAUGGUAUUGAAGUGUCAUACCCUCUGAACCAUGCUAGAUAGCUGCUAAUUGUGUUGUAAAUUCUGUGUGUUGAUUUUACUGCUGGAAGAAGAGGCAUUUAGUGUAAAACCACCCUUGACUGCAGAAGCAAUUUGCUGGUACAUUAGAAAGACAGAGAAAAGAGGAAGAAAUAGAAAAUGAAUGAGCUUGAGCAGAGUGCUGACCAACCAAAUACCCUGUUCACCCGAAAGAUACACAGAUACAUUCUUAAGUUCCUAAAGCUUUUCUGAGUGUUAAAACUUUAUUGUAAAUCUGUUUGUUCAAUUAAAUGGGAUUCUACCAAAAUGGUGGUAUAUUCAGCUAUGCAUAUCUUUUCUGGUGAGCACAUCCAACAACACUGAAAUGAUGCCCCAGUGACAAGG